rnacentral:rRNA from 1 species
GAUGAACGCUGGCGGCGUGCCUAAUACAUGCAAGUCGAGCGAACGGACGAGAAGCUUGCUUCUCUGAUGUUAGCGGCGGACGGGUGAGUAACACGUGGAUAACCUACCUAUAAGACUGGGAUAACUUCGGGAAACCGGAGCUAAUACCGGAUAAUAUUUUGAACCGCAUGGUUCAAAAGUGAAGGACGGUCUUGCUGUCACUUAUAGAUGGAUCCGCGCUGCAUUAGCUAGUUGGUAAGGUAACGGCUUACCAAGGCAACGAUGCAUAGCCGACCUGAGAGGGUGAGCGGCCACACUGGAACUGAGACACGGUCCAGACUCCUACGGGAGGCAGCAGUAGGGAAUCUUCCGCAAUGGGCGAAAGCCUGACGGAGCAACGCCGCGUGAGUGAUGAAGGUCUUCGGAUCGUAAAACUCUGUUAUUAGGGAAGAACAUAUGUGUAAGUAACUGUGCACAUCUUGACGGUACCUAAUCAGAAAGCCACGGCUAACUACGUG